rnacentral:rRNA from 1 species
CAGUCGAGCGAACUUCUUCGGAAGUGAGCGGCGGACGGGUGAGUAACGCGUGGGUAACCUGCCCUAUACACACGGAUAACGUACCGAAAGGUACGCUAAUACGAGAUAACAUAUUUUUAUCGCAUGAUAAGAAUAUCAAAGCUCCGGCGGUAUAGGAUGGACCCGCGUCUGAUUGGCUAGUUGGUAAGGUAACGGCUUACCAAGGCGACGAUCAGUAGCCGACCUGAGAGGGUGAUCGGCCACAUUGGAACUGAGACACGGUCCAAACUCCUACGGGAGGCAGCAGUGGGGAAUAUUGCACAAUGGGCGAAAGCCUGAUGCAGCAACGCCGCGUGAGCGAUGAAGGCCUUCGGGUCGUAAAGCUCUGUCCUCAAGGAAGAUAAUGACGGUACUUGAGGAGGAAGCCCCGGCUAACUACGUGCCAGCAGCCGCGGUAAUACGUAGGGGGCUAGCGUUAUCCGGAAUUACUGGGCGUAAAGGGUGCGUAGGUGGUUUCUUAAGUCAGAGGUGAAAGGCUACGGCUCAACCGUAGUAAGCCUUUGAAACUGAGAAACUUGAGUGCAGGAGAGGAGAGUAGAAUUCCUAGUGUAGCGGUGAAAUGCGUAGAUAUUAGGAGGAAUACCAGUUGCGAAGGCGGCUCUCUGGACUGUAACUGUCACUGAGGCACGAAAGCGUGGGGAGCAAACAGGAUUAGAUACCCUGGUAGUCCACGCCGUAAACGAUGAGUACUAGCUGUCGGAGGUUACCCCCUUCGGUGGCGCAGCUAACGCAUUAAGUACUCCGCCUGGGAAGUACGCUCGCAAGAGUGUAACUCAAAGGAAUUGACGGGGACCCGC